AAACUUUCAGCAAUGGAUGUC
rnacentral:rRNA from 1 species